AUCACUUCUCGGCCUUUUGGCUGAGCUCAAGUGUAGUAUCUGUUCUUAUCAGUUUAAUAUCUGAUAUGUCUUCGAUGUGAAGACGCUGUGUUAAGCAGCUUUUUGGAGAAAGGAGGCGGGUUGGCAGCUUGCUCCGUCCCCUGCAUGCAUCGGCUGCGUGGAGAGAAGCAGCGUGGCUCAGUGGAAAGAGC